rnacentral:rRNA from 1 species
AUUGAACGCUGGCGGCAUGCCUAACACAUGCAAGUCGAGCGGAGCUGCGGACGGGUGAGUAAUGCCUAGGAAUCUACCUGGUAGUUGGGGAUAACUUCCGGAAACGGGCGCUAAUACCGCAUCCUAUCAGGUUAGCCUAGGUCGUAUUAGCUAGUGGGGGGGGUAAAGGCGUACCAAGUCGCCGAUCUGUACCUGGUCUGAGAGGAUGAUCAGUCACACUGGAACGGAGACACGGUCCAGACUCCUACGGGAGGCAGCAGUGGGGAAUAUUGGACAAUGGGCGAAAGCCUGAUGCAGCCAUGCCGCGUGUGUGAAGAAGGUCUUAGGAUUGUAAAGCACUUUCAGCUGGGAGGCGUUACCAACAGAAUAAGCACCGGCUAACUUCGUGCCAGCAACCGCGGUAAUAC